rnacentral:rRNA from 1 species
GAGUAACACGUGAGUAAUCUGCCCUUCACUCUGGGAUAAGCACUCGAAAGGGUGUCUAAUACCGGAUACGACACGCACUCGCAUGGGUUGCGUGUGGAAACUUUUGUGGGUGGGGGAUGUGCUCGCGGCCUAUCAGCUUGUUGGUGGGGUAAUGGCCUACCAAGGCUUCGACGGGUAGCCGGCCUGAGAGGGUGACCGGCCACACUGGGACUGAGACACGGCCCAGACUCCUACGGGAGGCAGCAGUGGGGAAUAUUGGACAAUGGGCGGAAGCCUGAUCCAGCAACGCCGCGUGAGGGAUGACGGCCUUCGGGUUGUAAACCUCUUUCAGUAUUGACGAAGCGCCCGUGUGGGUGGUGACGGUAGGUACAGAAGAAGCACCGGCCAACUACGUGCCAGCAGCCGCGGUAAUACGUAGGGUGCGAGCGUUGUCCGGAAUUAUUGGGCGUAAAGGGCUCGUAGGCGGUUUGUCGCGUCGGGAGUGAAAACACUGGGCUUAACCGAGUGCUUGCUUUCGAUACGGGCAGACUUGAGGCAUUGAGGGGAGAACGGAAUUCCUGGUGUAGCGGUGAAAUGCGCAGAUAUCAGGAGGAACACCGGUGGCGAAGGCGGUUCUCUGGCAAUGUUCUGACGCUGAGGAGCGAAAGUGUGGGGAGCGAACAGGAUUAGAUACCCUGGUAGUCCACACCGUAAACGUUGGGCGCUAGGUGUGGGGCCUAUUCCAUGGGUUCCGUGCCGCAGCUAACGCAUUAAGCGCCCCGCCUGGGGAGUACGGCCGCAAGGCUAAAACUCAA